AGUGGGAUAGCUGGGUCAAAUGGUGGUUCUGUUGUUUUCCAAGGAAUCUCCAUACUGCUUUCCAGGUUGGUUGUACCAAUUUUCAGUCCCACCAGCAAU
rnacentral:pre_miRNA from 1 species